GGAAUAUUGGACAAUGGGCGAAACCCUGAUUCAGCCAUGCCGCGUGGGUGAAGAAGGCCCUAGGGUUGUAAAGCCCUUUCGCCGGUGAAGAUAAUGACGGUAACCGGUAAAGAAGCCCCGGCUAACUUCGUUCCAGCAGCCGCGGUAAUACGAAGGGGGCUAGCGUUGUUCGGAAUCCCUGGGCGUAAAGCGCGCGUAGGCGGAUUGCUAAGUCAGAGGUGAAAGCCCGGGGCUCAACCCCGGAAUAGCCUUUGAUACUGGCAGUCUUGAGACCAGGAGAGGAGAGUGGAAUUCCCAGUGUAGAGGUGAAAUUCGUAGAUAUUGGGAAGAACACCAGUGGCGAAGGCGGCUCUCUGGCCUGGAUCUGACGCUGAGGUGCGAAAGCGUGGGGAGCAAAC
rnacentral:rRNA from 1 species